GCGGAGGGGGCGAACUGGGUUCCGGCCCUCGGAGGCUGACGGAAGGCGGUGGCUGAGGAGCGGCGCCUCUGGUUGAGCGCUCGCCGUGUGUCCCGCACCUGUCUGUCCUGCCGCCGCCCGCACAGCACAGCACCGCACAUCUCCAGUCGGACUGGCUACAUUUCAAGGGCUCAACCAUCACGCGUUACCAGUGGCUACUGCAUCAGACUGUGCAGUGCUAGAUGGGGAGUCAGAAGAGAAACCAAGUGAUUUCCAUGUCAAGUGGUGAACAGGCUAAGAAGAAAAGUAAAUUGGGGAAAGAGCAUGGGGAAUGUGGGGGUUGCUGUUUGAAAGAGGAUGGUUGGGAAGGCUGAAGAGCUGUCAUUCGCAGAGGGACCCAAAAGAGGUGAGAGCACUGAACAAAUAGUUACAUUCUUCAUUGUCUGCCGCAGUGCUGUCCAGAAGAGCUUCCCACGAUAAUGGGCAUGUUCCAUAUCAGCACCGUCCAAUUCAGUAGCCCCUGGCUCCAUGGGGUUUUCUCUCUUUGUUUUUUUCUGUUUGUUUUUUUUUUUAAGAC
rnacentral:lncRNA from 10 species